AGAGAAAGAUAGCUUCUCCGAUGAAAAGCGCACUGCGAGUCGCAAAAGACACUUCGAUAUAUCGAUUCGAACGGACGAUGUUCAAGAGAAACAGUAUCUGUCAAAUGUGUGUCAAAGUAAAAAGACUUUGCGCUGUGAAAGAAUCUUUUUUUAAAUUCGGUUAAAUAAUUUGUGGAUAAUCCUGUUCAGUUUUUGAUAAAUCGUUUUGAUAAUUAUAAAUAUUAGAUUUUUUUCAACGAGAAAGAUUCAUAUCGUGGAAUUCGAGCAUUAAUGGGAAUCUGAAGAAAUUUCGUUCUCCUUUAUAUAUUCUAUUUCAGUACAGUAAUUGGAACAAGAUCGAUUGAUUCAAAUACGUAUUAAUUCCACGAGUUUGAACAAUUUGAAACAAUUUGCAAUUAAGAUUUCUCGGCGCUCGAUAAUAAAUAUCGAUAUCUGGCCACGAGUCGUGAAACGACGUCCAACUGUCGGAUUAAUUUUAUCAGUCAUAACUCGAUUCGCCCAUUCGAUCGUCAUUAACGUCGUUUCACGAUUGCACGAGAGAGACACCGAUGACACGCGUUAAAAUAGUUUUAUCCACGAUAUUUUCUAAACUGUUUGCCAAAUUGAUCGGGAGUAUUGAAACAGAAGAUUAUUUCAAACGAUUUAAAAAUUAAAUCGUAUAUUUUGAUCGAUCGAAUCGCUUGUAAUUUCUAUCUCGUGGGAUUUUUAUUGAAACGAUCGAAAUUAAUCGAACUGAACAGUGUCAGCGAUUUGGAAUUUUUAGGGGAAAAAGGUAUCGUUUUCUUUCGACGAUGAAAGAAUCCAAAAAAAAAAAAAAAAAAAAAAAAA